UAAGCGGAGGAAAAGAAACUAACAAGGAUUCCCCUAGUAACUGCGAGUGAAGCGGGAAAAGCUCAAAUUUAAAAUCUGGUGGUCUUUGGCCAUCCGAGUUGUAAUUUAGAGAAGCGUCUUCCGCGCUGGACCGUGCACAAGUCUCCUGGAAUGGAGCGUCAUAGAGGGUGAGAAUCCCGUCUUUGGCACGGACACGCCAGGGCUUUUGUGAUGCGCUCUCGAAGAGUCGAGUUGUUUGGGAAUGCAGCUCAAAAUGGGUGGUGAACUCCAUCUAAAGCUAAAUAUUGGCGAGAGACCGAUAGCGAACAAGUACCGUGAGGGAAAGAUGAAAAGCACUUUGGAAAGAGAGUGAAACAGUACGUGAAAUUGUUGAAAGGGAAACGCUUGAAGUCAGUCGCGUCGACCGAGACUCAGCCUCGCCUUGGCUUGGUGUAAUUCUCGGCUGACGGGUCAGCAUCAAUUUUGCCUCUUGGAUAAUGGCGAGGGAAAUGUGACACCUUUACGGUGUGUUAUAGUCUCUCGUCGCAUGCAAGGGUUGGGAUUGAGGAACUCAGCACGCGCCUUCGGGUGUCGGGGUUACGCCCACGAUACGUGCUUAGGAUGUUGGCGUAAUGGCUUUAAACGACC
rnacentral:rRNA from 1 species